GCGCACACUGCAACCCGCGCAAAUUAUAAUAAUGCGUAAUAAAAUCCUUUCGAGUUCCGAUGCGAAGGAUUCAAGAUUGCCAAUAUUGCCGUCGCCCGAUCUCCGAACGGCUGUGAUUAAAUUAUAUGGAGAAUUUGUUUCAAUUUUGGAAAGAAUUUUUACGUGAUGGAGAUCAUACAAAGAGGAAUAUUCAAUAUUGGGCGAUCGUAUCAAAAAUGAAUUAUACCAAUAUCCGUUGAUCACGUGCGCAAUCAUAAAGUUUUAGAUUUAAACACACUUUUCGGCUUUAUUUACAAAGUUAAAAUAAAGUAUUUAUUAUAGCGAAGAUUGCAAAUCAACACAAUUUUCCUAUGAAGAAAUAAUAAAAUAAUAUUAUUAUGCUG